GCAGUAGCCACGGUAAUACGUAGGUGGCAAGCGUUGUCCGGAAUUAUUGGGCGUAAAGGGCUCGCAGGCGGUUUCUUAAGUCUGACGUGAAAGCCCCCGGCUCAACCGGGGAGGGUCAUUGGAAACUGGGAAACUUGAGUGCAGAAGAGGAGAGUGGAAUUCCACGUGUAGCGGUGAAAUGCGUAGAGAUGUGGAGGAACACCAGUGGCGAAGGCGACUCUCUGGUCUGUAACUGACGCCGAGGAGCGAAAGCGUGGGGAGCGAACAGGAUUAGAUACCCCAGUAGUCCCUGUCUCUUAUAC
rnacentral:rRNA from 1 species